rnacentral:rRNA from 1 species
UGGCUCAGGAUGAACGCUAGCUACAGGCUUAACACAUGCAAGUCGAGGGGCAGCAUGAUCUAAGCUUGCUUAGAUUGAUGGCGACCGGCGCACGGGUGAGUAACGCGUAUCCAACCUUCCCUAUAGUAGAGGAUAGCCCGGCGAAAGUCGGAUUAAUACUCUAUGUUUUCCAAUGCAGACAUCUAAGUUGGAACAAAGGUUUACCGCUAUAGGAUGGGGAUGCGUCUGAUUAGAUAGUAGGCGGGGUAACGGCCCACCUAGUCUACGAUCAGUAGGGGUUCUGAGAGGAAGGUCCCCCACAUUGGAACUGAGACACGGUCCAAACUCCUACGGGAGGCAGCAGUGAGGAAUAUUGGUCAAUGGGCGAGAGCCUGAACCAGCCAAGUAGCGUGCAGGAUGACGGCCCUAUGGGUUGUAAACUGCUUUUAUCGGGGGAUAAAGUGAGGGACGUGUCCCUUAUUGUAGGUACCCGAUGAAUAAGGACCGGCUAAUUCCGUGCCAGCCGCUGC